CAAAAUGUAGCUUAACUAAAGCACUUCGCUUACACCGAAUCUAUAUCCGUGCAACUCUGAUCAUUUUGA
rnacentral:tRNA from 1 species